UACGUAGGGUGCAAGCGUUAAUCGGAAUUACUGGGCGUAAAGCGUGCGCAGGCGGUUGUGCAAGACAGAUGUGAAAUCCCCGGGCUCAACCUGGGAAUGGCAAUGGAGACUGCAAGGCUAGAGUUUGGCAGAGGGGGGUAGAAUUCCACGUGUAGCAGUGAAAUGCGUAGAUAUGUGGAGGAACACCGAUGGCGAAGGCAGCCCCCUGGGUCAAAACUGACGCUCAUGCACGAAAGCGUGGGGAGCAAACAGG
rnacentral:rRNA from 1 species